AAAACUAGGGGGUGCUUCCAUCUGGAAGAAUCUGGAGACAGGUGCUGCAUGGCUGUCGUCAGCUCGUGUCGUGAGAUGUUGGGUUAAGUCCCGCAACGAGCGCAACCCUUGCCUUUAGUUGCCAGCAGUUCGGCUGGGCACUCUAAAGGGACUGCCGGUGUUAAACCGGAGGAAGGUGGGGAUGACGUCAAGUCCUCAUGGCCUUUAUGACCAGGGCUACACACGUACUACAAUGGCCGAUACAAAGGGCAGCGACACUGCGAGGUGAAGCCAAUACCCGUAAAAUCGGUCUCAGGUCCGGAUUGGAGUCUGCAACUCGACUCCAUGAAGUUGGAAUCGCUAGUAAUCGUGAAUCAGAAUGUCACGGUGAAUACGUUCCCGGGCCUU
rnacentral:rRNA from 1 species